AAAACAAAAAAACAAAACUACUGUGGGAAAAAGGAUAUUAUGUAUAGAAAAGUCUACACUUCUUGAUACAACUAACUAAAAAAAGCCUGAUACACUAAACAAAACCCAAAUAAUGUCUUCCCUAAAAGUGGGUAACUUGAAAAGCAAUUCGAGCAAAAAUCAAGGAGUUCAAUUAUAAAUAAGUAUAUCAACAAAGUGAAAGAUGGGUUUAAUUUUUCCCACAAAAAGUUAAAAGAAAUAACAGCAGGUUUAGAGGAAGAGGAAAAAAUAAUAAGAAAAUUAUAUGCAGUUGCAAAAUGUGUGACUAUUUACAAACUCUAACAUAUAACUACAAAACGGACCAGAAGAAUCAUUAUCAUAGGAAGCAAAGGGUCAUUUCAAAAAUCAGAGGAGGGAUGAUUCAUAUUUAAUUUAAUUCUGUGGAAAAAAUUUAAGUAAUGUUUGAGGACAAAAAUAGGUGAUGUGUUGAAAUGCGGGAAACCACAGUGGAAGGAAAAAUAAUUCAAGAAAGCUCAGUUUCAGUAACCAGUAUCUAGUAAAAUCUUCAGGACCUAGAGGGUACAAUCUGCAUUAAUAGUGUCUGAAGACCUAGAAAUGUCAUUAAAUACCAUUUUGGAUAAUUCUUGUAGACUUGAGAUGAUGUCUAUUUAAAGUUACAAAAUAGUGCCCAUAUUUCUGUAUUCAUUACAGAAAACAAUUGGAUAUGGAAAAGAAACUAUCAUGCUAUGCCACAAUCUCUAAAGAAAGAUUAGGGAAGUUUCAGCUUAAAGCAAGAAUAAUCACAAUAAAGUUUUACAACCCUUUGCAAGCAUAUAUGAAAAACUUACAAAAAGUUUGUAAUGAUCUUUUCUUAAGCUAAGAGAACAGAAAAAAUGAGAAAAAUUAAAUUAUAAAAUGAAACUUUGGUUUAGAGGUAAGAAACAUUUGAUGACAGUCAAGAGAUCAGGGUUGUACAGUGUAUUAUGUGAAUGUUGUGACUCAUUGGUUUCAUCUUGGAUAUCAUAACUUGACAUUUUGUAAAAGUGAUUUUUCAUGGGAGUUUCUUCAGGUGCCCUAUGAAGUCCUGUCCCUUUAGAAGCGAAUAAUAGUCUUCCACAUUCUUGAGAUAUCUUAAUGAAUAACAUCUUCUACAGUCUUCCAUUGUUUAGACCUUGGAGAGACACUCAUUAGUGACUGUUAAGGUACCUGAGUUAUUAGGUGCCUGUAGACUAUGCCCAGUGAUAUGUGCAUUAGGUACAUGCUCCCUAG
rnacentral:lncRNA from 1 species